rnacentral:rRNA from 1 species
UUAAAUUGAGAGUUUGAUCCUGGCUCAGGACGAACGCUGGCGGCGUGCUUAACACAUGCAAGUCGAGCGAGGAAAUUCCUUCGGGGAUUUCCUAGCGGCGGACGGGUGAGUAACACGUGGGCAACCUGCCUGAUAGAGGGGGAUAGCCUCCCGAAAGGGAGAUUAAUACCGCAUAAAGUCAAAUGAAGGCAUCUUCAAAUGACCAAAGGAGUAAUCCGCUAUCAGAUGGGCCCGCGGCGCAUUAGCUAGUUGGUGAGGUAACGGCUCACCAAGGCGACGAUGCGUAGCCGACCUGAGAGGGUGAUCGGCCACAUUGGGACUGAGACACGGCCCAGACUCCUACGGGAGGCAGCAGUGGGGAAUAUUGCACAAUGGGGGAAACCCUGAUGCAGCAACGCCGCGUGAGUGAUGAAGGCCUUCGGGUUGUAAAGCUCUGUCUUCAGGGACGAUAAUGACGGUA